AGAAGCCAUGGGUUAGGGGGCUUUGCUAAGUAAGAUGUUUACUGGAGUACAUUUCUCUCCUGACAUCAGAGAUGUGGCUGCCCCAAGCACAUUUAGAAGUUGCACUCUUGGUACAAAAGUAAAGGUUUGUUUUCUUCUGCCUGCAAAACUACAGCCAGCAACUAGAGAGAUGCAGUUUCAUCAUGUUGCCUUGGCUGGUCUCAAACUCCUGGGCUCAGGUCAUUUGCCUGCCUCGGCCUCCCAAAGUGGUGGAAUUACAGGUGAUACAUGAAUUUAUCCGGAUUGACAACCCUCACCCCUGGAAAACAUGACUCUCAGAAUCCACCGCUGG